GAUGAACGCUGGCGGCGUGCCUAAUACAUGCAACUCGAGCGAACGGACGAGAAGCUUGCUUCUCUGAUGUUAGCGGCGGACGGGUGAGUAACACGUGGAUAACCUACCUAUAAGACUGGGAUAACUUCGGGAAACCGUAGCUAAUACCGGAUAAUAUUUUGAACCGCAUGGUUCAAAAGUGAAAGACGGUCUUGCUGUCACUUAUAGAUGGAUCCGCGCUGCAUUAGCUAGUUGGUAAGGUAACGGCUUACCAAGGCAACGAUGCAUAGCCGACCUGAGAGGGUGAACGGCCACACUGGAACUGAGACACGGUACAGACUCCUACGGGAGGCAGCAGUAGGGAAUCUUCCGCAAAGGGCGAAAGCCUGACGGAGCAACGUCGCGUGAGUGAUGAAGGUCUUCGGAUCGUAAAACUCUGUUAUUAGGGAAGAACAUAUGUGUAAGUAACUGUGCACAUCUUGACGGUACCUAAUCAGAAAGCCACGGCUAACUACGUG
rnacentral:rRNA from 1 species